rnacentral:rRNA from 1 species
AUUGAACGCUGGCGGCAUGCCUUACACAUGCAAGUCGAACGGCAGCACGGGUGCUUGCACCUGGUGGCGAGUGGCGAACGGGUGAGUAAUACAUCGCAACAUGUCCUGUAGUGGGGGAUAGCCCGGCGAAAGCCGGAUUAAUACCGCAUACGAUCUACGGAUGAAAGCGGGGGACCUUCGGGCCUCGCGCUAUAGGGUUGGCCGAUGGCUGAUUAGCUAGUUGGUGGGGUAAAGGCCUACCAAGGCGACGAUCAGUAGCUGGUCUGAGAGGACGACCAGCCACACUGGGACUGAGACACGGCCCAGACUCCUACGGGAGGCAGCAGUGGGGAAUUUUGGACAAUGGGCGAAAGCCUGAUCCAGCAAUGCCGCGUGUGUGAAGAAGGCCUUCGGGUUGUAAAGCACUUUUGUCCGGAAAGAAAUCCUUGGCCCUAAUACGGUCGGGGGAUGACGGUACCGGAAGAAUAAGCACCGGCUAACUACGUG